rnacentral:rRNA from 1 species
AUUGAACGCUGGCGGCAGGCUUAACACAUGCAAGUCGAGCGGGGUGAUGGUGCUUGCACUAUCACUUAGCGGCGGACGGGUGAGUAAUGCUUAGGAAUCUGCCUAUUAGUGGGGGACAACAUUCCGAAAGGAAUGCUAAUACCGCAUACGCCCUACGGGGGAAAGCAGGGGAUCUUCGGACCUUGCGCUAAUGGAUGAGCCUAAGUCGGAUUAGCUAGUUGGUGGGGUAAAGGCCUACCAAGGCGACGAUCUGUAGCGGGUCUGAGAGGAUGAUCCGCCACACUGGGACUGAGACACGGCCCAGACUCCUACGGGAGGCAGCAGUGGGGAAUAUUGGACAAUGGGCGGAAGCCUGAUCCAGCCAUGCCGCGUGUGUGAAGAAGGCCUUUUGGUUGUAAAGCACUCUAAGCGAGGGGGAGGCUACUUAGAUUAAUACUCUGGGAUAGUGGACGUUACUCGCAGAAUAAGCACCGGCUAACUCUGUGCCAGCCGCCGCCGUAA